UGGGGAAUAUUAGGCAAUGGGGGAAACCCUGACCUAGCCAUGCCGCGUGCGUGAAGAAGGUCUUAGGAUUGUAAAGCGCUUUCAGCGGGGAAGAUGAUGACGGUACCCGCAGAAGAAGCCCCGGCUAACUCCGUGCCAGCAGCCGCGGUAAUACGGAGGGGGUUAGCGUUGUUCGGAAUUACUGGGCGUAAAGCGCACGUAGGCGGACCAGAAAGUUGGGGGUGAAAUCCCGGGGGCUCAACCCCGGAACUGCCUCCAAAACUAUUGGUCUAGAGUUCGAGAGAGGUGAGUGGAAUUCCAAGUGUAGAGGUGAAAUUCGUAGAUAUUUGGAGGAACACCAGUGGCGAAGGCGGCUCACUGGCUCGAUACUGACGCUGAGGUGCGAAAGUGUGGGGAGCAAACAGGAUUAGAUACCCUGGUAGUCCACACCGUAAAACGAUGAAUGCCAGUCGUCGGGUAGCAUGCUAUUCGGUGACACACCUAACGGAUUAAGCAUUCC
rnacentral:rRNA from 1 species